rnacentral:rRNA from 1 species
GGUUAAGUUAGAAAGGGCGCACGGUGGAUGCCUUGGCACUAGGAGCCGAAGAAGGACGGGACUAACACCGAUAUGCUUUGGGGAGCUGUACGUAAGCGUUGAUCCAGAGAUUUCCGAAUGGGGGAACCCACUAUCUUUAGUCGGAUAGUAUCCUUACGUGAAUACAUAGCGUGAGGAAGGCAGACCCAGGGAACUGAAACAUCUAAGUACCUGGAGGAAGAGAAAGAAAAAUCGAUUUCCUGAGUAGCGGCGAGCGAAACGGAAAGAGCCCAAACCAAGAAGCUUGCUUCUUGGGGUUGUAGGACACUCUAUACGGAGUUACAAAAGAAAGUUAUAAAUGAAGCGGUCUGGAAAGGCCCGCCAAAGACGGUAACAGCCCGGUAGUUGAAAUGGCUUUCCCUCCAGAGUGGAUCCUGAGUACGGCGGAACACGUGAAAUUCCGUCGGAAUCCGGGAGGACCAUCUCCCAAGGCUAAAUACUCCCUAGUGACCGAUAGUGAACCAGUACCGUGAGGGAAAGGUGAAAAGCACCCCGGAAGGGGAGUGAAACAGUUCCUGAAACCGUGUGCCUACAAGUAGUUAGAGCCCGUUAAUGGGUGAUAGCGUGCCUUUUGUAGAAUGAACCGGCGAGUUACGAUUUGUUGCAAGGUUAAGCGGAAAAAGCGGAGCCGUAGCGAAAGCGAGUCUGAAUAGGGCGCAUAAGUAACAGGUCGUAGACCCGAAACCAGGUGAUCUACCCAUGUCCAGGAUGAAGGUAAGGUAAUACUUACUGGAGGUCCGAACCCACGCACGUUGAAAAGUGCGGGGAUGAGGUGUGGGUAGCGGAGAAAUUCCAAUCGAACUUGGAGAUAGCUGGUUCUCUCCGAAAUAGCUUUAGGGCUAGCCUCGAGGUAAAGAGUCAUGGAGGUAGAGCACUGUUUGGACUAGGGGCCCUUCUCGGGUUACCGAAUUCAGAUAAACUCCGAAUGCCAUGUACUUAUACUCGGGAGUCAGACUGCGAGUGAUAAGAUCCGUAGUCGAAAGGGAAACAGCCCAGACCACCAGUUAAGGUCCCCAAAUAUAUGUUAAGUGGAAAAGGAUGUGGGGUUGCUUAGACAACCAGGAUGUUGGCUUAGAAGCAGCCACCAUUGAAAGAGUGCGUAAUAGCUCACUGGUCGAGUGACCCCGCGCCGAAAAUGUACCGGGGCUAAACAUAUUACCGAAACUGUGGAUGAACCUCUUUAGAGGUUCGUGGUAGGAGAGCGUUCUAAGGGCGGUGAAGUCAGACCGGAAGGACUGGUGGAGCGCUUAGAAGUGAGAAUGCCGGUAUGAGUAGCGAAAGAAGGGUGAGAAUCCCUUCCACCGAAUAUCUAAGGUUUCCUGAGGAAGGCUCGUCCGCUCAGGGUUAGUCGGGACCUAAGCCGAGGCCGAUAGGCGUAGGCGAUGGACAACAGGUAGAGAUUCCUGUACCAGUGCUAAUUGUUUAACCGAUGGGGUGACACAGAAGGAUAGGGAAUCGCACGAAUGGAAAUGUGCGUCCAAGCAGUGAGUGUGAGAAGUAGGCAAAUCCGCUUCUCGCGAAGCAUGAGCUGUGAUGGGGAAGGAAAUUAAGUACGGAAGUUCCUGAUUUCACGCUGUCAAGAAAAGCCUCUAGGAAGAGUAGUACUGCCCGUACCGCAAACCGACACAGGUAGAUGAGGAGAGAAUCCUAAGGUGAGCGAGAGAACUCUC